GCAAGUCGAGCGAGAAGGCAUCUUUGGGUGGAGGAGAGGGGCGAACGGGGGAGGAACGCGUAGGUAUAUAUCUAGUAGCAGGGAAAAACCAUUGGUAACGAUGGCUAAAACCGCAUACGCCCUUAUGGGGAAAACUGGGGCGCUACUAGAGGAGCCUGCGUUAGAUUAGCUAGUUGGUGAGGUAAUGGCUUACCAAGGCGACGAUCUAUAGCUGGUUUGAGAGGAUGAUC
rnacentral:rRNA from 1 species